rnacentral:rRNA from 1 species
AUGUCUACUAGUUGUCGGGUCUUAAUUGACUUGGUAACGCAGCUAACGCGUGAAGUAGACCGCCUGGGGAGUACGGUCGCAAGAUUAAAACUCAAAGGAAUUGACGGGGACCCGCACAAGCGGUGGAUGAUGUGGAUUAAUUCGAUGCAACGCGAAAAACCUUACCUACCCUUGACAUGUACAGAAUCCCGAAGAGAUUUGGGAGUGUUCGAAAGAAAACUGUAACACAGGUGCUGCAUGGCUGUCGUCAGCUCGUGUCGUGAGAUGUUGGGUUAAGUCCCGCAACGAGCGCAACCCUUGUCAUUAGUUGCUACGAAAGGGCACUCUAAUGAGACUGCCGGUGACAAACCGGAGGAAGGUGGGGAUGACGUCAAGUCCUCAUGGCCCUUAUGGGUAGGGCUUCACACGUCAUACAAUGGUACAUACAGAGGGCCGCCAACCCGCGAGGGGGAGCUAAUCCCAGAAAGUGUAUCGUAGUCCGGAUUGUAGUCUGCAACUCGACUACAUGAAGUUGGAAUCGCUAGUAAUCGCGGAUCAGCAUGUCGCGGUGAAUACGUUCCCGGGUCUUGCACUCACCGCCCGUCA